AUUGAACGCUGGCGGCAGGCCUAACACAUGCAAGUCGAACGAGCGGCGGACGGGUGAGUAAUGUCUGGGAAACUGCCUGGUGGAGGGGGAUAACGACCGGACACGGGAGCUAAUACCGCAUACCAUCGGAUUGGCCUAGAUGGGAUUAGCUAGUAGGUGGGGUAAAGACUCACCCAGGCGACGACCCCUAGCUGGUCUGAGAGGAUGAGCAGCCACACUGGAGCUGAGACACGGUCCAGACUCCUACGGGAGGCAGCGUUGGGGAAUAUAGCACAAUUGGCGCAAGCCUGAUGCAGCCAUGCCGCAUGUAUGAGGAAGGCCUUCAGGUUGUAGAGUACUUUCAGCGGGGAGGCGUUACCCGCAGAAGAAGCACCGGCUAGCUCCGUGCCAGCAGCCGCGGUAAUAC
rnacentral:rRNA from 1 species